CCUACGGGGGGCUGCAGUGGGGAAUAUUGCGCAAUGGAGGGAACUCUGACGCAGCAACGCCGCGUGAAGGAUGAAGGUUUUCGGAUUGUAAACUUCUUUGAUCGGGGACGAAAAUGACGGUACCCGAGGAACAAGCCACGGCUAACUACGUGCCAGCAGCCGCGGUAAUACGUAGGUGGCAAGCGUUGUCCGGAAUUACUGGGUGUAAAGGGCGUGUAGGCGGGAAGGCAAGUCAGAUGUGAAAGCCCAUGGCUUAACUGUGGAACUGCAUCUGAAACUGUUUUUCUUGAGUACUGGAGAGGAAAGUGGAAUUCCUAGUGUAGCGGUGAAAUGCGUAGAGAUUAGGAGGAACACCAGUGGCGAAGGCGGCUUUCUGGACAGUAACUGACGCUGAGGCGCGAAAGCGUGGGGAGCAAACAGGAUUAGAUACCCUAGUAGUC
rnacentral:rRNA from 1 species